UGAUGAUGAUAAUGAUGAUGCUGAUGAGGAUGAUGAUAAUUCUAUGGGAGCUUCAUCAUCGUCUUUGUCGUCAUCAUAAUCGUAU
rnacentral:miRNA from 1 species